rnacentral:lncRNA from 10 species
AAUGCUGAUAACAAUAAACUACCCAGGCUACCGCGCCACGUGGACGGGGGUGGUGGAUGGAAAGGGAAACCCUUGGCCACCAGCAGCCUGUGAUAAGGCCAAGGUUCCCUGGCUGGAUUGCUGCCUAGGAUGCCUGUGGUCCCUACCCCCGCCCGGGAGGCAGGAUUGACUAAUCCGACCAAGCAAGGCCUCCAGGCUGGGCCAAGAACCCCUUCCCAGUCCUCUCCCAAAGUCUAUGUCCUUGGGCUCACGCUGUCCUCUCCUGUCCUUGCCUCCUGCAUCUACAGACCCCUGAGGCCCCCUCCUCCUUCAGAGCAUGCACGUCGCAAAUUCUCAAUGACUGUUUGGAGGAAUGAAUAAAUGAAUUGUGAACAAAUGGUCUGAAGAUUCCAGAGGUAGCCUAAUGGGGCCCUGCUGCUUGAGUUCUAAUCCCAGCCCCACCAGUUGUUGGCUAUUUGGCCCUGGGCAGGCACACCAGAAGACUACAUUUCCUAGCCCCCCACCCCCUUGCAGUGUCUGGGACCAUGUGACUCCUUAAUUAGGUCACUUCUCUCUCCUGGGAGGCCCUCUCUGCCCUCUCUAAGUCUAACUAGUGGCAAAGGAUCUAAGGGAAGAAACCUGGCAGAGUUACUAGUCCCAAGAAGCCUGGGUCCCUGAAUCACCACAUGGAAGUCUACGCGCCCACCACCUGAAUGGACUAAGGAAGCUGCAGGAUGAAGACAACAGCAUCACAAGGAGGAAGCCAGGAUCCCUGUGUUACCACAAGGAGGAGAGAUGCCUAACCAAGACCGUCUGCAAGGAUUUUGUGUGAGCCAGAAGCAGAGCUGUAUGGUGUUCAGCCACUGAGAUUUGAGGGCUGUUUGUUACAGCAGUUGACCUAUCCUGACUGACACAUCACAUCAUUCCUUUCCCCACCAUGUGUCUAACAUGCUACCAAAUUGAAUUUUAAGUAAAUUAGUACUUAUAAAUUAAGUACAAAUGCUUUUCAAAUUCACAUGAAUCUUUGGUAAAUAAAACUGGUUGUAAAAUUAUUGAUAAAUAUAGA